GACGAACGCUGGCGGCGUGCUUAACACAUGCAAGUCGAACGGAAAGGCCCUGCUUUUGUGGGGUGCUCGAGUGGCGAACGGGUGAGUAACACGUGAGUAACCUGCCCUUGACUUUGGGAUAACUUCAGGAAACUGGGGCUAUACCGGAAAGGAGCUCCUGCUUCCUGGUGGGGGUUGGAAAGUUUCGGCGGUUGGGGAUGGACUCGCGGCUUAUCAGCUUGUUGGUGGGGUAGUGGCUUACCAAGGCUUUGACGGGUAGCCGGCCUGAGAGGGUGACCGGCCACAUUGGGACUGAGAUACGGCCCAGACUCCUACGGGAGGCAGCAGUGGGGAAUAUUGCACAAUGGGCGGAAGCCUGAUGCAGCAACGCCGCGUGCGGGAUGACGGCCUUCGGGUUGUAAACCGCUUUCGCCUGUGACGAAGCGUGAGUGACGGUAAUGGGUAAAGAAGCACCGGCUAACUACGUG
rnacentral:rRNA from 1 species